rnacentral:lncRNA from 1 species
CUAGUGAGCAUUGUGCAUUAAGUUGCAUUCUAACAGCUGUAUUUCAGAACAUGUCAAAAGCAUCAUACACAUUUCUGAAUUGCAGAUGAUAUUCUUGUAGAUUAUGGAGAGAAGGAUGCAAGUCACUAAAUUUGGCGUGGACCUGGAGGUGUGACAAUUUAUGAACCGGAGACUAAAUUUGGCGUGGACCUGGAGGUGUGACAAUUUAUGAACCGGAGACUAAUGGAUGAUGCCACCACAGAUGCUCGAGUUUUCCUUCAUUCUGAAUGUGGACUUUAAAUGUGGUAG